CGGGCUAUGGCGCAGUCUGGUAGCGCGCUACACUGGGGGUGUAGAGGCCGUGGGUUCGAGUCCCGCUAGCCCGACCA
rnacentral:tRNA from 2 species